rnacentral:lncRNA from 1 species
CGUUAGAGGAGGAGGAGAUGGAGGAAGAUUUAGAGAUGCAGGAGGACGAGGAAGAGGGUGAGAUUGAUUUCGAGUUGGAAGGCGUGGAGGAGAAGGAGCACCUGUCUGGAGAGGGCGAGGAAGAGGAGGACAAGAAUGAGCAGGAGGGUGCAGCAGUGGUUACAGGCCUUGGGUUCUGCAUGGAGACAUUUGGGCCCCUGUUCCGGAGUCACGUUGACUCCUUUCUACGCAAUUUCUGUAACAACAAAGAUGUCUUCUUCCCGCCUUCCACUGACCGCCUGAUGGCCAGGGGCCGCUCCCAGCCACCCUCGGACCCUGGAGAAGGUCCGGUGCCUCCUCAGGAGCAGGAAGACCUAGGAGACGGAGGCAGAGUCUUGCAGGGCCUAGACUCUGCUGCUGAUUUGAAGUUGAGGUAUUUUCCCUGCCAACUUUUGACCCCAAUGUCUGCAUCAUUCUGCCCCAAUGAUGAGGGUGAGGAUCAGUAUGAAAAUGCUGAUGAAGAGGAAGAGGAUAGAAAUGAAAAACCUGAAGGACUCUGAAUGGAUAUGGUCUCAGCAAAGAGCAGCUCUGGAUAAUACAGUGGGAAGGCAUAGAAAGAAGCAGCCAGCAAAAGAAAAGAUGAAUUUGUUCUUCAUGGAUAUUCUUGUUUUCAUUAGCCUGAAAUGCUAAUUUUGUUUCAAAGUUUCAACGCCCCAAAAUGAUAUUAACUACUGACAUCUGACUUUACUCUUACCUUUUACAGAUAAUUUGAUAGUAUUGUUCACAUUGGAAAUAAAAGCUUGUUUGAAAUUAAUUCUCCCUUAGCC